rnacentral:rRNA from 1 species
AUUGAACGCUGGCGGCAUGCCUUACACAUGCAAGUCGAACGGUAACGCGGGGCAACCUGGCGACGAGUGGCGAACGGGUGAGUAAUGUAUCGGAACGUGCCCAGUAGUGGGGGAUAGCCCGGCGAAAGCCGGAUUAAUACCGCAUGAGACCUAUGGGUGAAAGCGGGGGAUCGCAAGACCUCGCGCUAUUGGAGCGGCCGAUAUCAGAUUAGGUAGUUGGUGGGGUAAAGGCCUACCAAGCCGACGAUCUGUAGCUGGUCUGAGAGGACGACCAGCCACACUGGGACUGAGACACGGCCCAGACUCCUACGGGAGGCAGCAGUGGGGAAUUUUGGACAAUGGGCGCAAGCCUGAUCCAGCCAUGCCGCGUGCGGGAAGAAGGCCUUCGGGUUGUAAACCGCUUUUGUCAGGGAAGAAAUCUUCUGGGUUAAUACCUCGGGAGGAUGACGGUACCUGAAGAAUAAGCACCGGCUAACUACGUGCCAGCCGCCGCCGUAACAC